rnacentral:lncRNA from 1 species
GUAAUUCUAUGGUUUUCAGAUAUUAGCCCCCUUGCCUAUUGGGUUUGCCGUGUUCUUGGUGCACUUGGCGACCAUCCCUAUUACAGGUACUGGUAUUAACCCCGCCAGGAGUCUUGGUGCAGCAAUCAUCUACAACAAAGACAAGGCAUGGGAUGAUCACGUAAGCUAAAAUUCAACUGUAUCUGAAUUCAGUAUAAUCAGGAUUCUACUAUUGAAAUAUUCGAGUUAAGGACUCACUCAGACAAUUAUAUCCUAACUUACACUACAAGUCGUGUUAAAUUUGGCGUGUAUAAGGUGAAUGGUAAAAUGUGACAUAUUUUUACGUUGUUAACUUACCACAACCCUCCUAUUUUAGGAUGAUAAGGUUGGAUAAAGUUAGUUAUCUUUUUUCCUGAUAAUGUGCAGUGGAUAUUCUGGGUUGGACCAUUCAUUGGGGCAGCACUUGCAGCUCUCUACCAU